GUGCGAUCGCCCGCGAGGGCGGUCACGAAGCCCUGACGAGUAGGAGGGUCGCGGCGGUGAGCGCAGAAGGGCUGGCCGCGAGGCCGUCUGGAGCCGCCGUCGGUGCAGAUCUUGGUGGUAGUAGCAAAUACUCCAGCGAGGCCCUGGAGGACUGACGUGGAGAAGGGUUUCGUGUGAACAGCCGUUGCACACGAGUCAGUCGAUCCUAAGCCCUAGGCGAAAGCCGAUGUCGAUGCGGUGUAGUUUUUACCAAACAUAUAUUAUAUAUAUAUAUACGUGUAUAGAGCGAGAACACACCCGUCGGGCGAAAGGGAAUCCGGUUCCUAU
rnacentral:rRNA from 1 species